UGGGGAAUUUUGGACAAUGGGCGCAAGCCUGAUCCAGCCAUGCCGCGUGCGGGAAGAAGGCCUUCGGGUUGUAAACCGCUUUUGUCAGGGAAGAAACGCUCCAAGCUAAUAUUUUGGAGUAAUGACGGUACCUGAAGAAUAAGCACCGGCUAACUACGUGCCAGCAGCCGCGGUAAUACGUAGGGUGCAAGCGUUAAUCGGAAUUACUGGGCGUAAAGCGUGCGCAGGCGGCUUUGCAAGACAGAUGUGAAAUCCCCGGGCUUAACCUGGGAGCUGCAUUUGUGACUGCAUGGCUGGAGUGCGGCAGAGGGGGAUGGAAUUCCGCGUGUAGCAGUGAAAUGCGUAGAUAUGCGGAGGAACACCGAUGGCGAAGGCAAUCCCCUGGGCCUGCACUGACGCUCAUGCACGAAAGCGUGGGGAGCAAAC
rnacentral:rRNA from 1 species